CUGUUUAUCAAAAACAUUCUUUUAGAUUUUAAUUUAAAGUCUGACCUGCCCACUGAUUUUAUAUUUAAGGGCCGCAGUAUUUUGACUGUGCAAAGGUAGCAUAAUCAUUUGUCUUUUAAUUGAAGGCUGGAAUGAAUGGUUGAAUGAAGUAUUAACUGUCUCAUUUUUAUAAAUUAAGAAUUUAGCUUUUAAAUAAAAAGGUUUAAAUAUAAUUAAAAGACGAGAAGACCCUAUAGAUUUUUAUAAUAUUUUAUUUAGUUUUAGUAAGAAAUAAAUUUUAUUAUUAAUUAAAUUAUUAUUUGAUUGGGGUGAUUAAAAAAUUAAAAAAACUUUUUUUUAUAUAAACAUAAAUUAAUGAAUGUUUGAUCCAAUUUUAUUGAUUAAAAGAUUAAAUUACCUUAGGGAUAACAGCGUAAUUUUUUUAGAGAGUUCAUAUCGAUAAAAAAGAUUGCGACCUCGAUGUUGAAUUAAAGGUUAUUUUUAAAUGCAGUAGUUUAAAGUUUAAGUCUGUUCGACUUUUGAAUCUUUACAUGAUCUGAGUUCAAACCGG
rnacentral:rRNA from 1 species